AUUCAAAUAUUGCCAAUAAGGAUCAACGUUUCAACCUUGUGGUCUUUAUCAAGCUUGAUAAAGACCGCAAGGUCUAAACGUUGAUUCUUAUUGGCAACAUUUGAGUGCG